ensembl:lncRNA
UGCAAGUUGGGCACUUGGCCCGGGUGCUGUGGGCAGAGCGCUUGGUAACUGCGGCCUCCGCCCUCCCGCCAGCCUCCUCCGCCUCCUUCACCCCCAGGCUGGUCUCCUGGCCAUGUUCCCGCCCUUCAGGGAUCCCAUGCUGGAGGUGUCUCUCAGCCCCUCCAGCCUCUGGCCUUGCUGUGGGUCCCCUGGCACCUCGACAGGUGCAGCCCGAGUGCUUGUGCCUGGUGUCCAGCGCCCCACCCCCUCGCACUUGGCUGUGAGGUGAAUGUGUCCUGUUGGAGAUCUGGGAAGGGCUCGGAGGGCAGCGGCUGGGCCUGCCCAGGGCAUCCUGGCGAUCCUGAGUCUUCUACCCAGGUCCCAGGAUUCUCAGAGGGCGAUGAGCCGGGGCAUGGGGAGAUGGGCAAUGCCUUUGCUGGGGCAAUCCUCCCUGGCACUUGUUUUUGACUCUGUCCUGGGAUGUCCAAUAGCAGGACAACAUGAGCCUCAUAGUAACUGAAACUUCUCCAGCGGCCACACCAAAAACACUCAGAAGGAACAAGCCAGAUUAAUUUUAAUAAUAUAUUUUAUUUAACUUUGUGGCACGUGUAGUGUUUCAAGGUGGCCACAGGUGGCUAACAGCUGUCCUCCCUGGCCUGCCCCAGGCAGGGUCAGAUGCUUUAUGGCCCAAUGGUUUCUGAGACUUGGAUUCAAAUCCUGGGCAUGUUUCCUAUGCUGCUGACCCCAACUCUCUGGGUGGUGGGAUGGCUGCAUGCACUGCUGUGUCACAUGGUCUUGGGAGGACUAGACAGGACACAUGUGCAGUAUUGGGGUGUGGCAAGUGGCCCCCAGGCUGGCUCUCUGCAUCUGGUCACUUCGGACUUGGACAUUGAACUGAAUGGUCUGGUUCAAGUCUUGGCUCCACUGUUCACUGUGUUCUUUCUCUGUGCCUCAGUUUCCUCUUCUGUGGAGUGGGGAUAACAAUAGCUCCUCCCCCAUUAGGCUCUGUGUUGAAGAGAAUUAAUCAGCACCAAGGAGGGCUUUGCUAAAUACACAGAGCUAAAUGGCUGGUGUUCCUCACUGUGCAGGUGAUCUGCUCCACGUUCACGGAGGGCCCUCGAUUCUGAGUGUUGGGAUCACAUCACAUGUGGCCUAGGGACACAGGGCCAGGACCCUCGCAGGACCUGCUAACCUGACCUCACUGAUGUGUUUUAUGGGGUGCCUACUCUGAGCCCAUGCACGCGCCAGUCCCCCGUGGGCUGCUGACAGCCAGUGUGAGACCUCUUAAUUGGCUUCAAGGGUAGUUGCAGUCUUCCUGAGCCAGUUAACGAUCUCGGGUAAUGAGCUCUCUCCUCUCAGUAUUUGUUUAGUGCUUUAUUCAUGGGCAUGAAAUGGUGGUGGCGUUAAUUUCAGGGGAACUUUAAUGAUUUUAUGUGUUUGGAGAAGUUCCCAGCUCCUGACCUUUAGGUGCUAGGUCUGUUUGGGGCCAUGUAAAAUGUUUGGCGUCACUUGCAAGAAAGAAAAAAGAAGUGCUGUUUUCCUUAGAAAUAGAAUAGGCAUUUCACAGCCCAACAUUGUUCUGCCAGGAAAUGUUCACCAAAGUCCUGAAGGCAGACCUGUGGAAAUUUCCAGUACUUCUCCUAGAGGAAGGAUUUGGGUUGUCACAACCAGAACAAUCAUCUUACCCCUCCAUUUCCUGAUCUCUUCACCAGUCUACCAACCAACCAUCAUCCAGUCAUCCACCCACCUGUCCAUCCAUUUACCCACCCAUCCACCCACCUAUCCAUCCAUCCAUCCACCUACCCAUGUAUCCAUCCACCCAUCCAUUUAUCCACCCAUGCACACAUCCAUGCACUUAUCCAUCUGCCCCCUACAGUGUACCCAUCACCCAUCGGUUCAUCCACCCACCCAUGGCACUCACAUCCACUCACCGCUCCUCUGUCCACCACCUUGGUUGCCUGCAGCACUGAGGCAAACCUCACUCCACGCCCAGCUUCUUCUCUUACGUGUUGUACACCUGUCUGGUUUCUGCCUGGCCGUGUCAGCAGAGGGGCUCUGAGGCACACUGUGGGUGUGAAGGGUGCAGGAGCCCGGAGAGCCCAGAACCCUGGACCUUCCCUUUGCCACUUGAGUCCCUGUGACUUCUUUUCAGAUCCUUGGGGUCGCGAAGGCCCCGGGUCCCAAGGCUUGCUUGGGAGGAAGCCAGAGACUGUAACUCUCUACCUUGGAAACAGUGGAAAGAUCGAAAGUGAAAAGAUUAUCACUUCAUCUUUUGUUUCCCUAUUAAAACAGUUACAUUUCCUGUCACUCUUCUCAAACCCUCCAGAUACACUGCACAGGGGCUUUCCAAGCUUUCCUCCUGUUUCUGUCCUCCCAGUGGGAGAAAAGCUGAUUAUGACCAUGUCAGGUACACAGAGCCCCUGACUGGGCGACCCCACAUUCUUCCUUUUCAAAUAAAGUUUAAGACUAUCCAGAACGACUUGCCAGGCUGACCUCUGGCUUUUGAUCCUCUGCUGAGUUUUGUGCAGCCUGUUGGCGCAGCCUGCUGAUGUGCUGGGAUGAAUGCCCUCGCUGGGGGAGGUGUUAACACCCUAGGUGUGUGUUGGCUCCUUGUCCUGCAGCCAGUGAGAAACCUCACGGCCUGUUGCCUGUCCUGGGUCCUAAGUGAUGGUGGCCACGUGAAGAUGCACCUGAGGGAGACAGAGUUUCCUGUCUGUGCUUCACCCUGGGGUGCUGUCCUUAGGAGCUGAUCUCAGAAACUCACGGCAGCCAGCCCCCAAGAUGGUGUGGGGGCAUCCUGAAUUCAGGCCCUUGUGCAGCCCUUCCUCUUCAUUCCAGGUUGGUCAGUGCAACCAGAGAGGGUCUGCAGAAGUGAUGCAGUCAUCAGAGGCACUGUGGCUUUCAUCUUGUUCUCUCUCUCUCUCUCUUCUCUCCCUUUACUUUUGCGUCCAAUCCUUUGUACGAGGAAGCCAGGUGCUCUGAGAGCAGCAGCUAUGGAGAGGCCCAGGGUAAGGAACUGCAGCCCCUACAGCCUUCUGGGGAGCCCUCAGGGGACCAAGUCACAGCCAUCAGAUGUCCACUCGCCUGACCUUCAUCCGUCCUUACGUGUGGCAGCUGAGAGUCGUGCAGUGACCACCCUAAGGUCACUCAGCCAGGCUGAGUUAGUGUAGGGUUGGUCCUGCGAGCCUGUCUCACAGGGUCCCCCUCGCAAGGGCUCACUAGGGAUGGAGCAGACCUGAGAGCUCGAGGACCUGCACCCCUGCACACCGGUGCUCACAUCUCAGAGAAGGAGAAGCAGAUGGAUUUUUCCAGAUAAUGUGCUCAUGGUGAAAAAAAUCUCUGAGCACUGGAGGUGAGGCUCUACCACUGUGCAGCACUUGCCUAGCAUGCACAGAGCCCUAGGUUCGAUCCCCAGCACUGGAAAAGGCAUUCAAAUGAAAUUAUAUUGAGUCCUGCAUUGAAGAGAUGCUUGGGGCAACCCACUGGGCCCCCGCCCCGUCUUUCAGGAACUAUCCCUAUUCCCCAUUCUUUUUCCCCAUUCCUAUUUCCCAAUAAAAUUUCCUAUUCUUUAAAAAAAAAAAAAAAGAGAUGCCUGGUUUGGGAAGAAGAGAAUUCCAUGAAGGGAAGCCUUUCCCCCAUUCCUGGGGAGAGCCGUUUAGUUACCUACAGGGGUAUGGGAUGUGUCUAGGUGUCCCCCAAAGCCUCAUGGGCUCGUAGGUGGGCUUUUUUGGAGCAGGCUGGAUUAGGGUGUGUGAUACUGGGAUUAAGAGUGUGUGAAGCUAAAUUAGUCAACGGAUUGGUUUAGCAUAGUUCUGGGUGUGAAUAAUGGGAAGGCCCACCCUGGGUGUGGGUGGCACCACCCAAAAAGCUUGUAGCCUGAAUGGGAUAAAAGGAAAAGGGAGGCUUGCUGUUCUGCUAUUGCCGCUGCCGCCUUCUGCCUGCACUGCUGCAGACUGUUUCUCCUCUGCCACGCCACCCUGCCUUGGAGCCAGCCAACUAUGGACUGGAACCUCUCUAAACCAUGAGCUGAAAUACACCUUUCCUCCUUUAAUUUCGGGUGUUGGGUAUUUUGUCUCAGCAAUGAGAAAAGUAACUAAGACAUAAAGCUUGGCAGAAGUUGACAAAAUCCAUUAAAAUUAUCUCAUGUAAGUUGCUAUACAUAUGUCACAGAGCUAAAAUAAACGCAUCUCUGGUGAGUUGUUUAAGUUUUGGUCAAUUCUGCAAGUUUGUCACCCAACAAAAGGAGCCUUUGGGAGACCUGACUUGACUCAGUCAGGGCUGCGGCUGGUCCCCGCUGCGGGUGCCUAGGGCCCAGUGCUGUUGGGAACUUCAGAGGAUGAGUUCAGGUGCACCUAGGAAGUUGUCCUCUGGGGACAGAAGUGGCAAUGCUCGCUGCCUGCGUCCACAGGCCUCCCAUGAGGCCACUGCACAGAAGCUGGCAGAAAGCAGGACACUCAGUGCAGCCUGGUGCAGAAGUUGUG